rnacentral:rRNA from 1 species
GACGAACGCUGGCGGCGUGCUUAACACAUGCAAGUCGAACGGAAAGGCCCUGCUUUUGUGGGGUGCUCGAGUGGCGAACGGGUGAGUAACACGUGAGUAACCUGCCCUUGACUUUGGGAUAACUUCAGGAAACUGGGGCUAAUACCGGAUAGGAGCUCCUGCUGCAUGGUGGGGGUUGGAAAGUUUCGGCGGUUGGGGAUGGACUCGCGGCUUAUCAGCUUGUUGGUGGGGUAGUGGCUUACCAAGGGUUUGACGGGUAGCCGGCCUGAGAGGGUGACCGGCCACAUUGGGACUGAGAUACGGCGCAGACGGCUACGGGAGGCAGCAGUGGGGAAUAUUGCACAGUGGGCGGAAGCGUGAUGCAGCAACGCCGCGUGCGGGAUGCCGGCCUUCGGGUUGUAAACCGCUUUCGCCUGUGACGAAGCGUGAGUGACGGUAAUGGGUAAAGAAGCACCGGCUAACUACGUG